AAAGAACUUUGAAAAGAGAGUUAAACAGUACGUGAAAUUGUUGAAAGGGAAACGAUUGAAGUCAGUCAUACCAACGGGAAAUCAACCUUUUGAGUUUGUUCUUGUGGGUUUCGAGGAGUUUAAAAGCCUUCUGAUUUGCUAGGAUUGGGCUCUUUUGGUGUACUUUCUCGUACGGUUAGUCAACAUCGGUUUUGAAUGUCAUAAAAUGACUGGAGGAAUGUGGC
rnacentral:rRNA from 1 species